rnacentral:rRNA from 1 species
GGAGCUUGCUCCUUUGACGUUAGCGGCGGACGGGUGAGUAACACGUGGGUAACCUACCUAUAAGACUGGAAUAACUCCGGGAAACCGGGGCUAAUGCCGGAUAACAUUUAGAACCGCAUGGUUCUAAAGUGAAAGAUGGUUUUGCUAUCACUUAUAGAUGGACCCGCGCCGUAUUAGCUAGUUGGUAAGGUAACGGCUUACCAAGGCAACGAUACGUAGCCGACCUGAGAGGGUGAUCGGCCACACUGGAACUGAGACACGGUCCAGACUCCUACGGGAGGCAGCAGUAGGGAAUCUUCCGCAAUGGGCGAAAGCCUGACGGAGCAACGCCGCGUGAGUGAUGAAGGUCUUCGGAUCGUAAAACUCUGUUAUUAGGGAAGAACAAAUGUGUAAGUAACUGUGCACGUCUUGACCGUACC